rnacentral:rRNA from 1 species
UACGUAGGGUGCAAGCGUUGUCCGGAAUUUAUUGGGCGUAAAGAGCUCGUAGGCGGUUUGUUGCGUCGGCUGUGAAAUCCCGAGGCUCAACCUCGGGUCUGCAGUCGAUACGAGCAAACUAGAGUGUUGCAGGGGAGACUGGAAUUCCUGGUGUAGCGGUGGAAUGCGCAGAUAUCAGGAGGAACACCGAUGGCGAAGGCAGGUCUCUGGGCACUUACUGACGCUGGAGGAGCGAAAGCCGUGGGGAGCGAACAGG